GUUCAUGGUGGAGCCCCAGGCAUUGUCUCUCAAGAAACGGUCUGCAGAACAUGGAAGUGAUGGCUGGAGCUGUGGCAGCCAUUUUGCACCAUGAGACAAACUUGUGGCAGCAGCCAUAUAUAAAAGAUGGAGGAGCAGAAAGACAAAAGGAAUCCGGAUAUCUCACGACCACUGAAUCAUCAUCACACCAGCCCUGCAUCAUCUGCCUCUGGUGCUGAGGACCCCUGCUUUUCUGAGCUCCGCUGGACACCUCUCUGAAUGCCCAAAGCACCCCUGACUGAGUCUGCAAAACUCAGUGCGUGGCCUCACCAUGGCCUCAGCCACCCAAGACAGGAACAGGGGCCGCUUCAACUCUUUCCUUCCCUCUUCCCUGUCCCCGCCCCUGGCUGCCAGGCCCCGGAGAUUCAGCCUUUCUCAGGCCUGGCCACCUCCCUGCAUCCUCACCAUCACUUUGCUGGUACCAGACACUACCAUGUCUCACUUGGACACCUGCGAUCAUCCCUUCCUGUGGCUCCUGAGUCAUUGCGGAUCCA